GAGUGUGCACUCUGAAACUUUAAUUUGCCUGUUGUAUGGGACACACACAGGACUAAGAGACACAUGUAAAAUGCAUGGGGUCUUGGCACAGGGAAAGGGCCAUAUGUUUCUUAAAAACAGUCUCUGGCAGCUCUGAAACACUUCCCUGCAGGGGAGAUGAAUGUGCGUGCUCCUCAGACCCUCCUUAGGAGGACUUCCCGGCCGAGGGCCUUUUCUGGCCAUAUAUGUGGAUGAGGGUCUGCGCCUCCUCCCGGCUGACAGCCUGUGGCAUCUGCAGUGGGGCUGUCUGUGGCUGGCACCUGUGGACACAGAACCAGGAGACACAAGCCAGCCUUUACUGGAGCAUGUUAGAGCCAGGAUGCGCCUCUCACCUGAGCUGUUCAGCGUGCUGAUGACAGAGGUUAACUCUUCACACUCCUGAUGAAAUCUGUGAAGUGCAUAGAGUCUGCCCUUGCCCUCGGGCCCCUCCACAGCCGGUGUCAGAAUCAACAGGUGGACAGAGCUCCAGACCCUGGCCCCUUACCGCUGGCCACAGCAUCCUGAGCACCCUGCCCAGAACCUCCGGCCUCGGGUUCCUCUUCUGCGGAAAGCAGAUGAUGACGCCUGCAUCACGGACGGCAUAGUUGGGACGGCGGAGUGACCACAGACUGGGGAAGCGACUUGGGACGGUCACUGUGGCUGAGUUAGCAGUGGGCUGCUUGUUGUUUUCUUCUGUUUGUGGCGAUCCUUUCUUUCCCAAGUGACCCCUGUUUUGUGACAUUCAUUCUUCCCAUUUGUCAUUGAAAAUCGUUGCUGGUCUGUAUACACAGCAUAGUGCUGUUCUAAUAAAAACCAACGUUCUAAUAAAAACCAGUGCCAGAAAA